CUGGCACAACCACCGAACUCAACUGCGGUGAAAAACGCUCUCGAUUCUGUGGAUCCUGCAGUGCGAGUAGGGGAAAGGGGGCCUCCGCUCGCCGCCGGCCCCUUCUCCCCGACGCAGCCGGCAGGUGGUGAUCCGCCGCUAGCGCAGCCGCAAGUGGAGACGCGCAGUCGCCACGGCGGCCGCACCGGUUGUCUGUUCGAACCGAAUUUGAACAACCUUCUUCAAGACCGAAAGGGAAGGGAAUGACCGUGCUUCCGCAUGAUGGCAGACAAUGUUCUUUGUGCUUGGGGUUGUAAUCUGCGGCUCCUCACAGAAAGAAAAGGAAGAUGAAAGUUAGAUAUGGAAUUUCUAUAAGUACGCCUUAAUUUUCGGGGGAAAA